rnacentral:rRNA from 1 species
GAUGAACGCUGGCUACAGGCUUAACACAUGCAAGUCGAGGGGAAACGACGGGGAAGCUUGCUUCCCCGGGCGUCGACCGGCGCACGGGUGAGUAACGCGUAUCCAACCCGCCUCUGACUGAGGGAUAACCCGUCGAAAGUCGGCCUAAUACCUCAUGGCAUCGUCUGCGGGCAUCCAACGACGAUUAAAGAUUUCAUCGGUCAGGGAUGGGGAUGCGUCUGAUUAGCUUGUUGGCGGGGUAACGGCCCACCAAGGCUACGAUCAGUAGGGGUUCUGAGAGGAAGGUCCCCCACAUUGGAACUGAGACACGGUCCAAACUCCUACGGGAGGCAGCAGUGAGGAAUAUUGGUCAAUGGGCGGGAGCCUGAACCAGCCAAGUAGCGUGCAGGAUGACGGCCCUAUGGGUUGUAAACUGCUUUUAUGCGGGGAUAAAGUGAGGGACGUGUCCUUCAUUGCAGGUACCGCAUGAAUAAGGACCGGCUAAUUCCGUG